rnacentral:tRNA from 1 species
GGGGACACAGUUCAGUGGUAAAGCAUGUGCUUAGCAUGCACGAAGGUCCUGGGUUCAAUCCCCAGUACUUCCA